rnacentral:rRNA from 1 species
GUAAUCUAGAGAAGUGUUACCCGCGCUGGACCGUGUACAAGUCUCCUGGAAUGGAGCGUCAUAGAGGGUGAGAAUCCCGUCUCUGACACGGACUACCAGGGCUUUGUGGUAUGCUCUCAAAGAGUCGAGUUGUUUGGGAAUGCAGCUCAAAAUGGGUGGUAAAUUCCAUCUAAAGCUAAAUAUUGGCGAGAGACCGAUAGCGAACAAGUACCGUGAGGGAAAGAUGAAAAGAACUUUGGAAAGAGAGUUAAACAGUACGUGAAAUUGCUGAAAGGGAAACGCUUGAAGUCAGUCGCGUUGGCCGGGGAUCAGCUUCGCAUUUGCGUGGUGUACUUUCCGGUUGACGGGUCAGCAUCAAUUUUGACCGCUGGAAAAAGGCGGGGGGAAUGUGGCAGCUCCGGCUGUGUUAUAGCCCCUUGUCGUAUACAGUGAUUGGGAUUGAGGAACUCAGCACGCCGCAAGGCCGGGUUUCGACCACGUUCGUGCUUAGGAUGCUGGCAUAAUGGCUUUAAGCGACCCGUCUUGAAACACGGACCAAGGAGUCUAACAUGCCUGCGAGUGUUUGGGUGGAAAACUCGAGCGCGCAAUGAAAGUGAAAGUUGAGAUCCCUGUCGCGGGGAGCAUCGACGCCCGGACCAGAACUUUUGGGACGGAUCCGCGGUAGAGCAUGUAUGUUGGGACCCGAAAGAUGGUGAACUAUGCCUGAAUAGGGUGAAGCCAGAGGAAACUCUGGUGGAGGCUCGUAGCGAUUCUGACGUGCAAAUCGAUCGUCAAAUUUGGGUAUAGGG